GGCCCCGCGGGCGUUCCCGGUGGAGCGGCUCGCCUGCAAAGCGAGUGGACACGUCUCGGUUCGACUCCGAGCGGGGCCUC
rnacentral:sRNA from 1 species